rnacentral:rRNA from 1 species
UAGGGAAUCUUCCGCAAUGGGCGAAAGCUUGACGGAGCAACGCCGCGUGAGUGAUGAAGGUCUUCGGAUCGUAAACCUCUGUUAUUAGGGAAGAACAAAUGUGUAAGUAACUAUGCACGUCUUGACGGUACCUAAUCAGAAAGCCACGGCUAACUACGUGCCAGCAGCCGCGGUAAUACGUAGGUGGCAAGCGUUAUCCGGAAUUAUUGGGCGUAAAGCGCGCGUAGGCGGUUUUUUAAGUCUGAUGUGAAAGCCCACGGCUCAACCGUGGAGGGUCAUUGGAAACUGGAAAACUUGAGUGCAGAAGAGGAAAGUGGAAUUCCAUGUGUAGCGGUGAAAUGCGCAGAGAUAUGGAGGAACACCAGUGGCGAAGGCGACUUUCUGGUCUGUAACUGACGCUGAUGUGCGAAAGCGUGGGGAUCAAACAGG